UUGGUUAUCGUUAAAAUCGCCUGUGGCCAUUAUGUAAUUAAUAGUAUUAUCAUUAGACGCCAUAUCAAGAGAAUAUUCAUUUUUUCCCAGAUAUCUGAUCCACUAUUAUGAGGUAUAUAAAAGGUUCCGAGCAAAGCCUUUUUAUCUUUAAAUUUAAAUUCUAACCAUAUUGCUUCCAAGCUUUCGCUUUCGAGGUCAAUUCGACGUUG
rnacentral:lncRNA from 1 species